UUAAGUUCAGCGGGUAGUCCUACCUGAUUUGAGGCCAAAGCAUAAAGUAAAGUGUCCUCGAGGGACGAUUAGAAGCAGCACCAACAGAAGAGGCCUAAGGCGACGGCGCAGAUAAUUAUCACACCAUGCCGAGCACUCUAAAAAGCGCAAGCUAAUGCAUUUCAGGACGAGCCAAUUACGGCACAGUCCAAAUCCACCAC
rnacentral:misc_RNA from 1 species